rnacentral:rRNA from 1 species
AUUGAACGCUGGCGGUAGGCCUAACACAUGCAAGUCGAACGGCAGCACAGUAAGAGCUUGCGCUUACGGGUGGCGAGUGGCGGACGGGUGAGGAAUACAGCGGAAUCUACUUUUUCGUGGGGGAUAACGUAGGGAAACUUACGCUAAUACCGCAUACUACCUACGGGUGAAAGCAGGGGAUCUUCGGACCUUGCGCGAUUGAAUGAGCCGAUGUCGGAUUAGCUAGUUGGCGGGGUAAAGGCCCACCAAGGCGACGAUCCGUAGCUUGUCUGAGAGGAUGAUCAGCCACACUGGAACUGAGACACGGUCCAGACUCCUACGGGAGGGCGCAGUGGGGAAUAUUGGACAAUGGGCGCAAGCCUGAUCCAGCCAUACCGCGUGGGUGAAGAAGGCCUUCGGGUUGUAAAGCCCUUUUGUUGGGAAAGAAAAGCAGCAGGUUAAUACCCCGCUGUUAUGACGGUACCCAAAGAAUAAGCACCGGCUAACUUCGUG